AGUGAACGCUGGCGGUAGGCCUAACACAUGCAAGUCGAACGGCAGCACAGUAAGAGCUUGCUCUUACGGGUGGCGAGUGGCGGACGGGUGAGGAAUACAUCGGAAUCUACUUUUUCGUGGGGGAUAACGUAGGGAAACUUACGCUAAUACCGCAUACGACCUACGGGUGAAAGCGGGGGAUCUUCGGACCUUGCGCGAUUGAAUGAGCCGAUGUCGGAUUAGCUAGUUGGCGGGGUAAAGGCCCACCAAGGCGACGAUCCGUAGCUGGUCUGAGAGGAUGAUCAGCCACACUGGAACUGAGACACGGUCCAGACUCCUACGGGAGGCAGCAGUGGGGAAUAUUGGACAAUGGGCGCAGGCCUGAUCCAGCCAUACCGCGUGGGUGAAGAAGGCCUUCGGGUUGUAAAGCCCUUUUGUUGGGAAAGAAAAGCAGCAGGUUAAUACCCCGCUGUUCUGACGGUACCCAAAGAAUAAGCACCGGCUAACUUCGUG
rnacentral:rRNA from 1 species